GUUUGGAGCAAAGGACCUCUAAUGUUCUCUCUCUAUUUAAAAAUUCUACAAGUAAAUGGUUGCUAUGCCUACCCCCGGCAGUUGGCUGUUUUUUUGUUUUUGUUUUUUUUUUUUUGUUGCCAUGGGCAUGAUUCCAGUUCUCUCUGAAUUGGCUUAGGCUAGAGAGCAGUUGUCCUUGCCUAAGAACUCUGGGGCCAUGAAAGGAGGUUGCUUGGUGAUGGGUUGGAACAUACUGAUGGCACACCCAGUGUGAAGGAGAAGAUGAAAUGUUCCAGAAUAUUCUCUGGUGCCCACGGCUGUAAGCACUGGUCACCAGCUGCCAAAUGUACCUGGUGUCAACCUAGAAGUUCAAGGCGAUCGCUGUAUGUAAAGCUUCAAGGCUUAAACCUUCUACAAGGUGACUGUACAUAUCGGAAAGUGGAAGCCCAUUACUGGUGAAGUGUGGAUACUAUUUGAAUAUUAAACUGACGUUUUCCUCCCAUU
rnacentral:lncRNA from 1 species